rnacentral:rRNA from 1 species
CCUACGGGCGGCAGCAGUGAGGAAUAUUGGUCAAUGGGCGCGAGCCUGAACCAGCCAAGUCGCGUGAGGGAAGACGGUCCUAUGGAUUGUAAACCUCUUUUGUCGGGGAGCAAAAGACGCCACGCGUGGUGUUCCGAGAGUACCCGAAGAAAAAGCAUCUGCUAACUCCGUGCCAGCAGCCGCGGUAAUACGGAGGAUGCGAGCGUUAACCGGGUUUCGUGGGUUUAAAGGGUGCGCAGGCGGAAGAUCAAGUCAGCGGGAAAAUUGGGGGGCUCAACCUCGUCGAGCCGUUUAAACAGGUUUUCUUGAGUGAGCGAGAAGUAUGCGGAAUGCGUGGUGUAGCGGUGAAAUGCAUAGAUAUCACGCAGAACUCCGAUUGCGAAGGCAGCAUACCGGCGCUCAACUGACGCUCAUGCACGAAAGUGUGGGUAUCGAACAGGGUUAGAUACCCGUGUAGUC